CUCUGGACCUCCUUCCUUUUCUAGCAAAUCACAGAGGGUUUGAAUCAACACCGAGCCCAGAGGAUGCAUGAAUGCAGCGUAACCUAGAACACGAAUGAACGAAUGGAAAAGAGCUCAGACAUGCCGUCGUCUUCCUCUGAGAAUGAAGAAUCUGCCUCCACCUCCGCACCUCCAUCCAACUCAUGCCCUCGACAAGCCUGAACGCCAGAAGUUUCACAGCACGUCCAUCAGCGCCAAACACAACACCCUCCUCACCGUGACUGGAUAUGAUGCCCACAAAACAGUCUUUGACCGUCUUCUUGCUCUCUGAGGAUGAAGGACAGUGUUAAGAAGCCGAGCUUGGUGAGGAUUUUGUGAAGUCUUCUAGUGUCUCUCUUCACACCGUUCCUCUUGUUCAGACCUGCACCUGAAUA